rnacentral:rRNA from 1 species
UACAGAGGUCCCAAGCGUUGUUCGGAUUCACUGGGCGUAAAGGGUGCGUAGGCGGUCGGGUAAGUCUGCUGUGAAAUCUCACAGCUUAACUGUGAAACUGCAUUGGAUACUAUUCGGCUUGAGAGUUGGAGGGGGGACUGGAAUUCUUGGUGUAGCAGUGAAAUACGUAGAUAUCAAGAGGAACACCAGUGGCGAAGGCGAGUCCCUGGACAACUUCUGACGCUGAGGCACGAAAGCUAGGGGAGCAAACAGG